rnacentral:rRNA from 1 species
CCUACGGGAGGCAGCAGUGAGGAAUAUUGGACAAUGGGCGCAAGCCUGAUCCAGCCAUGCCGCGUGCAGGAAGACGGUCCUAUGGAUUGUAAACUGCUUUUAUACAGGAAGAAACACCUCUACGUGUAGAGACUUGACGGUACUGUAUGAAUAAGCAUCGGCUAACUCCGUGCCAGCAGCCGCGGUAAUACGGAGGAUGCAAGCGUUAUCCGGAAUCAUUGGGUUUAAAGGGUCCGUAGGCGGUUUAAUAAGUCAGUGGUGAAAGCCCAUCGCUCAACGAUGGAACGGCCAUUGAUACUGUUAAACUUGAAUUAUUAGGAAGUAACUAGAAUAUGUAGUGUAGCGGUGAAAUGCUUAGAGAUUACAUGGAAUACCAAUUGCGAAGGCAGGUUACUACUAAUAUAUUGACGCUGAUGGACGAAAGCGUGGGGAGCGAACAGGAUUAGAUACCCUGGUAGUCCACGCCGUAAACGAUGAUACUAGNUGUGUAGCAUCUGAGUGUGAGAGAAGAGAGUAAGUA